GACGCGUAACCGACUGAGCCACCCAGGCGUCCCAAAUGCUGCAGAGCUCUUCAAAGAUGACAUCUCCUGUACAGCCUGCAUCUCUCCUGCAUCAGCUCAUCCCUCAGUGUGUCCUACAACGAUGUCUGUGUUUCUCCAACCAGAGCUUUCUGCUGAGUACACGCAUCAGCAAAUUUUAAGUGUAGUUUUCAUUUUUGAUAUUGUACUAUUUUGAAUAAAUAUUUUCAAAGCUUUA